GGCAUCAUCAGAGUAAACAAAUGCAGGGAGGAGGCUGACAAAAUUUACAGACCUUAGCGCGCACAACAAAUCACGCACUUGACUGCUGCACAGCAGGAGUCCAAAGGGCACCUUUCCCAUACAAGAGGCUGCAAGAUCCCCAGCAGGGACUGCUCCUGCAGGCAGCGUCUGCAGCAGGAGGUACAGGCCUCCCACAGGCAGGAGCAGCCACGCCUUGCUGAGGCCCAGGAUGUGCUCCCCAGCCCUGACAGAAGAGACAGACCCCAACCAAAGAGGCACAGCAGUCUCCCAGAAACGCCCGGCAAGAUGAAGAGGAACAAGCAGUCAAACAUUAUAGAGAAAUGAGGCACCAAAGCAUGCUUCAAAGCAGUGCACAGGAGGCACUAUCACAAGCCUCAGAUGAGCAGGACAGCUGGACCUUGCAAUUAUAAGAUUACCAAUGGGCAGACCACAUGACAUCUGAACAUAAAUUGAGGAAAGGCUUCAAGAAGACAAAUAUAUACCAAGAGAAUGAUCCCUCCUGACCCAUAGCUGUAACACCAUCAACAUCCAAUGUGGCAGUGAAAUGG